rnacentral:rRNA from 1 species
UACGUAGGGGGCAAGCGUUGUCCGGAUUUAUUGGGCGUAAAGAGCGUGUAGGCGGCCAAGCAGGUCAGCUGUGAAAACUCGAGGCUCAACCUCGAGACGUCGGUUGAAACCGCUUGGCUAGAGUCCGGAAGAGGAGAGUGGAAUUCCCGGUGUAGCGGUGAAAUGCGCAGAUAUCGGGAAGAACACCCGUGGCGAAGGCGGCUCUCUGGGACGGUACUGACGCUGAGACGCGAAAGCGU